GACGAACGCUGGCGGCGUGCUUAACACAUGCAAGUCGAACGGAAAGGCCCUGCUUUUGUGGGGUGCUCGAGUGGCGAACGGGUGAGUAACACGUGAGUAACCUGCCCUUGACUUUGGGAUAACUUCAGGAAACUGGGGCUAAUACCGGAUAGGAGCUCCUGCUGCAUGGUGGGGGUUGGAAAGUUUCGGCGGUUGGGGAUGGACUCGCGGCUUAUCAGCUUGUUGGUGGGGUAGUGGCUUACCAGGGCUUUGACGGGUAGCCGGCCUGAGAGGGUGACCGGCCACAUUGGGACUGAGAUACGGCCCAGACUCCUACGGGAGGCAGCAGUGGGGAAUAUUGCACAAUGGGCGGAAGCCUGAUGCAGCAACGCCGCGUGCGGGAUGACGGCCUUCGGGUUGUAAACCGCUUUCGCCUGUGACGAAGCGUGAGUGACGGUAAUGGGUAAAGAAGCACCGGCUAACUACGUGCCAGCAGCCGCGGUGAUACGUAGGGUGCGAGCGUUGUCCGGAUUUAUUGGGCGUAAAGGGCUCGUAGGUGGUUGAUCGCGUCGGAAGUGUAAUCUUGGGGCUUAACCCUGAGCGUGCUUUCGAUACGGGUUGACUUGAGGAAGGUAGGGGAGAAUGGAAUUCCUGGUGGAGCGGUGGAAUGCGCAGAUAUCAGGAGGAACACCAGUGGCGAAGGCGGUUCUCUGGGCCUUUCCUGACGCUGAGGAGCGAAAGCGUGGGGAGCGAACAGGCUUAGAUACCCUGGUAGUCCACGCUGUAAACGGUGGGUACUAGGUGUGGGGUCCAUUCCACGGGUUCCGUGCCGUAGCUAACGCUUUAAGUACCCCGCCUGGGGAGUACGGCCGCAAGGCUAAAACUCAAAGGAAUUGACGGGGCCCCGCACAAGCGGCGGAGCAUGCGGAUUAAUUCGAUGCAACGCGUAGAACCUUACCUGGGUUUGACAUGGAUCGGGAGCGCUCAGAGAUGGGUGUGCCUCUUUUGGGGUCGGUUCACAGGUGGUGCAUGGCUGUCGUCAGCUCGUGCCGUGAGAUGUUGGGUUAAGUCCCGCAACGAGCGCAACCCUUGUUCACUGUUGCCAGCACGUUAUGGUGGGGACUCAGUGGAGACCGCCGGGGUCAACUCGGAGGAAGGUGGGGAUGACGUCAAGUCAUCAUGCCCCUUAUGUCCAGGGCUUCACGCAUGCUACAAUGGCUGGUACAGAGAGUGGCGAGCCUGUGAGGGUGAGCGAAUCUCGGAAAGCCGGUCUCAGUUCGGAUUGGGGUCUGCAACUCGACCUCAUGAAGUCGGAGUCGCUAGUAAUCGCAGAUCAGCAACGCUGCGGUGAAUACGUUCCCGGGGCU
rnacentral:rRNA from 1 species